rnacentral:rRNA from 1 species
UACGGAGGGGACUAGCGUUGUUCGGAAUCACUGGGCGUAAAGCGCACGUAGGCGGAUUGUUAAGUCAGGGGUGAAAUCCUGGAGCUCAACUCCAGAACUGCCUUUGAUACUGGCGAUCUUGAGUCCGGGAGAGGUGAGUGGAACUCCGAGUGUAGAGGUGAAAUUCGUAGAUAUUCGGAAGAACACCAGUGGCGAAGGCGGCUCACUGGCCCGGUACUGACGCUGAGGUGCGAAAGCGUGGGGAGCAAACAGG